GGUCGUGUAGCUCAGCUGGGAGAGCACCACCCUUACAAGGAGGGGGUCACUGGUUCGAUCCCAGAAACGACCACCA
rnacentral:tRNA from 1 species